UGGGGAAUAUUGCACAAUGGGCGCAAGCCUGAUGCAGCCAUGCCGCGUGUAUGAAGAAGGCCUUCGGGUUGUAAAGUACUUUCAGUCGGGAGGAAGGUGGUAAGGUUAAUAACCUUAUCAAUUGACGUUACCGACAGAAGAAGCACCGGCUAACUCCGUGCCAGCAGCCGCGGUAAUACGGAGGGUGCAAGCGUUAAUCGGAAUUACUGGGCGUAAAGCGCGCGCAGGCGGUUGAUUGAGUCAGAUGUGAAAUCCCCGGGCUUAACCCGGGAAUUGCAUCUGAUACUGGUCAGCUAGAGUCUUGUAGAGGGGGGUAGAAUUCCAUGUGUAGCGGUGAAAUGCGUAGAGAUGUGGAGGAAUACCGGUGGCGAAGGCGGCCCCCUGGACAAAGACUGACGCUCAGGUGCGAAAGCGUGGGGAGCAAACAGG
rnacentral:rRNA from 1 species